UACGGAGGGUGCGACCGUUAAUCGGAAUCACUGGGCGUAAAGCGCGCGUAGGCGGUCCGUUAAGUGGGAUGUGAAAUCCCCGGGCUUAACCUGGGAAUUGCAUUUCAAACUGGCGGACUAGAGUGCGGUAGAGGGAGGUAGAAUUUCCUGUGUAGCGGUGAAAUGCGUAGAUAUAGGAAGGAAUACCAGUGGCGAAGGCGGCCUCCUGGAUCGACACUGACGCUGAGGCGCGAAAGCGUGGGGAGCAAACAGG
rnacentral:rRNA from 1 species